rnacentral:ncRNA from 1 species
GGAGAACGCCAAACCUGCCGCGAGGCAGGGACGGAAAGCCACGGGUCUUACGCGAGACAGCCGGGCCGCCGA